CAGUUAGCUUUUUUUUUAUUGUAGAUAGGUAUGCUUUAAAAUUUUCAAGUCUUAUAUUUAAAUCGCAAACCCUCUUCAGAUCGAAACUCUACGUUUUUUAUAAUUAUUAUUUGAAGCUAACAAUAUUCGGUUAAUGCGAUUUGGCAGAUCUUAAGAUUAGCCUAAGAUGGCAGACCACGGUUGGAGCCAAACCCCAAGUUCAAGAAUGUCGACCUGAUUCCAAGUCCAGGCUAGUGUCUGUGUGUAGUAUGGUAUAGUAGCUACUGCUAUUAAACAUUUGGGCUGAUGUCAUCAGAUGAAAUGCGGCUGAUUAAGAAUGCCAGUUGCACAGUGCAGCUGGUUACAUGCUUCUGUGACUCCGACAGGGCUCCAAUCCUGGCGGAACGCUGUCAGCGCGACGUCGUUGUCCCUGUCGUGUUUGUCACUCCGCGCUGAGUACUGUGUGUGUGUGCGUGUGUGUUUGUGGAUGCAGUGAGUGUGGUAAGUAGCAAAUAUAUUGCAAGCUACUUUCAAGCACUGGAAAAUAUGAGUUUACGCCAACAAUAAGCAAUAUAUAUGCAUGUAUACACGAUGUAUUGUAUGGAAAUUGUGUGUGCUUUUGGAGUAGACGUCACUUAUGUCGCCAUUCUGCAAUUUCACGCAAUUUCCGUGUGUAGAGCCGCGAGCUAGUGACAAAUUUGGCGGCGAGGCAUGAAUAAUGCUCACACAUUAAUCAAAGAGCGGGACAGGCUCGAGCGACGGAGUGAAGGCGGGGUGUUAGCGCAACGUAGUGGGAGCCGCACCCAGAUUAGAGGCCACAAAGCGUGCAAUCAAUUGCUUGACUUACCUGAAAGCCAACCAGGCUCCAGACCUCCUCCUCGGUGGAGAAAACGCAGGCGGUGCCAGCACGUCCAUGAUACUGAUAGAUCCGUACCGAGUGGGCCAGGGCUACGGGUAUAGCAGUCGUCACAAUUGUUAUCCAGGCGCACAUAAUGGCGCUGCGUGCAAAAAAUAAUAAUAAAAAAAUAAACAAAAAACCAGCAGAAAAAAGAAAAUCAAAUGGUUUAGAUAAUUGGCAGCCAUUUGAAUGUCUGUUUUUUAUUUGCAUAUUCCUGUCAAGCUUAGCAAGCACUUUAAUUUAAUUUUUUAAUUCAAUUAAAUGUCAAUAAAUUCGAUUUUAUUCUGA